AUUGAACGCUGGCGGCAGGCCUAACACCUGCAAGUCGAACGAGUGGCGGACGGGUGAGUAAUGUCUGGGAAACUGCCUGAUGGAGGGGGAUAACUACUGGAAACGGUAGCUAAUACCGCAUCCCAUCAGAUGAGCCCAGAUGGGAUUAGCUAGUAGGUGGGGUAAAGGCUAACCUAGGCGACGAUCCCUAGCUGGUCUGAGAGGAUGACCAGCCACACUGGGACUGAGACACGGUCCAGACUCCUACGGGAGGCAGCAGUGGGGAAUAUUGCACAAUGGGCGCAAGCCUGAUGCAGCCAUGCCGCGUGUGUGAAGAAGGCCUUCGGGUUGUAAAGCACUUUCAGCGGGGAGGCGUUACCCGCAGAAGAAGCACCGGCUAACUCCGUGCCAGCAGCCGCGGUAAUAC
rnacentral:rRNA from 1 species